rnacentral:rRNA from 1 species
GCGGCAGGCUUAAUACAUGCAAGUCGAGGGGCAGCGCGGGUAGCAAUACCUGGCGGCGACCGGCAAACGGGUGCGGAACACGUACGCAACCUUCCCAUAACUGGUGAAUAGCCCUCCGAAAGGAGGAUUAAUACACCGUAACAUAAUGAAGAGGCAUCUCUUUAUUAUUAUAGUAGCAAUACGGUUUUGGAUGGGCGUGCGCCUGAUUAGGUAGUUGGCGGGGUAACGGCCCACCAAGCCUGCGAUCAGUAACUGGUGUGAGAGCACGACCAGUCACACGGGCACUGAGACACGGGCCCGACUCCUACGGGAGGCAGCAGUAAGGAAUAUUGGUCAAUGGACGAAAGUCUGAACCAGCCAUGCCGCGUGAAGGAUGAAGGCCCUCUGGGUUGUAAACUUCUUUUAUAGGGGACGAAAAAAGGGAAUUCUUUCUCACUUGACGGUACCCUAGGAAUAAGCACCGGCUAACUCCGUGCCAGCAGCCGCGGUAAUACGGAGGGUGCAAGCGUUAUCCGGAUUCACUGGGUUUAAAGGGUGCGUAGGUGGGUUUUGUAAGUCAGUGGUGAAAUCUCUAAGCUUAACU